CACGUAGUUAGCCGGGGCUUUCUUCUCCUAUACCGUCACACAACAGGCAGUUACUCCUGCUGCUGUUCGUCUAGGGCAACAGAGCUUUACGAUCCGAAAACCUUCAUCACUCACGCGGCGUUGCUCCGUCAGACUUGCGUCCAUUGCGGAAGAUUCCCUACUGCUGCCUCCCGUAGGAGUCUGGGCCGUGUCUCAGUCCCAGUGUGGCCGUUCACCCUCUCAGGUCGGCUACGCAUCGUCGCCUUGGUGAGCCGUUACCUCACCAACUAGCUAAUGCGCCGCAGGCCCAUCUAUAAGCCACAGAUUACUCCGUGUUUCAUGAUCCUCUCAUGCGAGAAAACCAGUUAUCCGGUCUUAGCUAUCGUUUCCGAUAGUUAUCCCAGUCUUAUAGGCAGGUUGCCUACGUGUUACUCACCCGUCCGCCGCUAAGCACCGAAGUGCUCCGCUCGACUUGCAUGUAUUAGGCACGCCGCCAGCGUG
rnacentral:rRNA from 1 species